CGUAGUCAGUAAUGUAAACAAUAAUAAAUAAAUACAGAUAAUUAUCUUUCAGUAUAAUACCAAAGCAUCGUCUAGAGGCUUGCCAUCUUUCAUGUUCUGGGCACAUGUCCUGCCAAGGUUGACCCCCUCCAUUAGAAGAUCUGUGAGCCGGUCAAAGCCAAGGCAGACUGUGAGGGGUGCAACAAAGCCAUACAGUCCUCCAAAGAAAAUACUGAGAGGCCAGCCAAUCAGCAGCAACACAAUUAGCCAGACGAUUGUCCAAAGACAUCUUUCCAUCCUAGGCGGCUGUAUAAGCAGAAUCGGUGACAGUUCCUUCUGGUGCUGGCUUAUGGGAAGCAGUGACUAUGCAUGUAGGGAGGAGUAAACGGUGAACUGUGCAGCGUUGUGAGGAAGCAAGGCAGGCAUGUGAUAUCAGACUCCACUGCUUUUUUCACCUGCUGAGGAGGAGGGAGAAGUCCCUGCUGCUGCUGCAGUACAGAAGUGUAGUACUCUUGGGGCCGGAUGUGCAGCUGCAGGGGCCGUGCAGUAAGCUGGUUGAAGGCAGGUGUCAGCUCAAAGCAGUUUUGGAAGAGUGAGACCCGAGCAAAAAUGUACAGACCCAGUCUGGCUCUGGACAUGGCUACCACUAAGCGGCGAACAUCUCUGUGUGUGCAAAGUAAACAGGGCAGAGAGAAUAAAAAGAGGAAAAAGAAAAA